CAGAGUACAGUGAUGCAGAAAACUACUCCUGGCUGCCUCUUCCAGCAAAUGUGUUCCUCCCUUACGGGCAUUUCUAUGGAGAGAGACCACAUGAAAGACCUCAGAAGAUACCUGGUACUUAAAUACAUCCAAUACCUUGNNNNNNNNNNNNNNNNNNNNCAUGGCAGUAUUCAUAUCAACCAACAGGGCUGUGGUGCAGAAAAGUGAGGGAAUGGAGCACAAGGUGACACUGACCUUUGAAGGUGGAGACCCAAUCAACCAUACUGAGAUGCCAGCAAGCUGCCUGCAAUGCUUGAAGGCUGUCCUAACAACCCGGCUCCCCCAUAUGCAAUGGCAAGGGAAUGACUGACACGUUGCAGCCCUGGGUUGACAAAGAUGGGAACAAAAUGGAGUUACUGGAAGGUGUUGAUUAGAGCUGGGGACUUUUGCUGGGUGACUGGGAGCAUGGCAGUCUUAUAGAGCCUUAUAGUCCCACACCACCAGGGAGCUCUCCUGCAUAUCAGGUUUUGAGCUCCACUGGAAACUGGGCAUUGUUCCCACAUCUUCAUGACAAAAUAGAGGAUUUUGUUACACUACCAGUUUUCAAUGAAAAACCUUGACAGAAAACACCCUGCAGGCAGCUCUCCUGUGCCAUGAUGUACUGUGCCUUUUCUAUUUGCCUUCUCAAUCUUACCUCAAGACCUUUGGGAUAAGAUACAUAUACAGAAUGAGUUUAUCUUACUGUCUUCCAGCACCAGGACAUGUCUUUCAGCUGGGCUGUGAGGUUAAGCUUUAAAUGACACCAUUCACUUGUUUCUAAUGUCUUUUGGGCACCAAAGGAAUUGUUGUUCUAACAUUCAGAAACAACCAAAGUUCACAUACUCUGGAAAAAGUGAAUCACUUAAUACAAGACACUGCACAAAAUGAUGACUAAACAGAGCUGAGGCUUUCACACUGUGUAAAAUGAGAGCUCAAGAAAUGUCUUCUCAGUCCCCCAUGACUCAUUUCUGUAGGGUGAAUGAGCAUUGUACUAACGGUAAGCAAUCUAGCAACCAAAAUGGUGUUAGUUUAUGUUAAUCCUAUAACACUCCCAUCAAAAUGAUGGUUAUCAGCCAGACUAAACUUGCUAAGAGUCCCAGAAUGUUGUGUUGGGCACUUUUUUGUAUCAGUUUUUACUUUCUGGGAAGUCA
rnacentral:lncRNA from 14 species